GAUGAACGCUAGCGGCAGGCUUAAUACAUGCAAGUCAAGGGGGUAGCAAUACAACCGGCGCACGGGUGAGUAACGCGUACACAACAUACCAUAUACUGGAGUAUAGCUUUGGGAAACUGAAGGUAAUCCUCCAUAACAUUGCGAGAGGGCAUCUGAUUGCAAUUAAAGUUUCGGCGGUAUAUGAUUGGUGUGCGUUUGAUUAGCUAGUUGGUAGGGUAACGGCCUACCAAGGCGACGAUCAAUAGCUGGCGUGAGAGCGCGACCAGCCACACUGGAACUGAGACACGGUCCAGACUCCUACGGGAGGCAGCAGUAGGGAAUAUUGGACAAUGGAGGAAACUCUGAUCCAGCCAUGCCGCGUGAUAGAUGAAGGCCCUCUGGGUUGUAAAUAUCUUUAUCUGGGAAGAAACAUCCUAUUCUUAGGAACUUGACGGUACCAGAGGAAUAAGCACCGGCUAACUCCGUGCCAGCAGCCGCGGU
rnacentral:rRNA from 1 species